rnacentral:rRNA from 1 species
AACCAACCGGGAUUGCCCUAGUAACGGCGAGUGAAGCGGCAACAGCUCAAAUUUGAAAUCUGGCUCUUUUAGAGUCCGAGUUGUAAUUUGCAGAGGGCGCUUUGGCUUUGGCAGCGGUCCAAGUUCCUUGGAACAGGACGUCACAGAGGGUGAGAAUCCCGUACGUGGUCGCUGGCUAUUGCCGUGUAAAGCCCCUUCGACGAGUCGAGUUGUUUGGGAAUGCAGCUCUAAAUGGGAGGUACAUUUCUUCUAAAGCUAAAUAUUGGCCAGAGACCGAUAGCGCACAAGUAGAGUGAUCGAAAGAUGAAAAGCACUUUGGAAAGAGAGUCAAACAGCACGUGAAAUUGUUGAAAGGGAAGCGCUUGCAGCCAGACUUGCUUGCAGUUGCUCAUCCGGGCUUUUGCCCGGUGCACUCUUCUGCAGGCAGGCCAGCAUCAGUUUGGGCGGUAGGAUAAAGGUCUCUGUCACGUACCUCUCUUCGGGGAGGCCUUAUAGGGGAGGCGACAUACUACCAGCCUGGACUGA